rnacentral:misc_RNA from 1 species
GUGAAUGUGUCGCUUUACUUAUGAAAAAAAAAAAUACAAUUUGCCCAAAUUAAUAGGCAUCAAAUUAUGAUAAUAUAAUUUUGGUGGCAGUCAGAUUUACAAAAAAUAGAAUUUAUUUUCUCAAAUUCACUUCACCUCUUCUGUUACCCCUUUAGUAUAAUACAUUAAUUAUGACAAAAAUCAAUAAACAAAUUUAAAAAGGGAAGCAUGCAUAUAAACAUUUUUCACAUAUCAAACAAAAAAAAAUUUGGCCUUUAAACCGGGGGCCUAUUUGGUUCAGCCACAUUAUCUGAUCCACCCGGUCGAGCCGAAGUCCCUUCUCCGUCAUUGGCUGCCACUUUUGGCGACCUUACUGACGAUGAAACUCUCGUCAAAAACGACGACGCUCUUGCUAAAAAUGGUGGACCAGCACUAAAAACCCAUCGGUCCGAUUUAGCUCCCUGGUCCAACCGCUCAAGCCGUUUAUACUUCCCUCUAUUGCUUCCUUCGCCUUCGCCCUUAUAGCCCCUCCUUGAACUCCGUUCUCUUGAAAACACCACCAUGCUCAUAGUCCGGUUCAAUUCCCGGUUCAUUAUUUGCUUCCUAACAUCAGCCGGUAACCUCAGAGUGAACCGCUCCGUGUUCUCGCCCGGUUGGACCAGAGAAUGCCCAGUGGAGUGUGAACGCGGGAACCUACGUGGCCUACCGGAUCUCGAUCCACGCGUGCGGUUCCUGUUCAAAGUUUGGUUCGCGCUCAUAACCUCAGGCUCCGGCGCUGUCACUUCAACAUUUCCGUCGUUAUGAUCGCAGACUUCUGGUUCUAAUACUACUUCAGCAUGGUUUUGAGCUUCGAGGUCCGACUGUGGCGGUGAAUCGGUAAGUUGCAGAGACGGUUCACCGGGUUGCGGUGUCAAAUUAGCUCGACAAACAGGACAAGUGGUGUGAGAAGCUAGCCAAACGUCGAUACAAUCAGCGUGAAACACAUGAUCGCAUUUAGGAAUUAAACGCAGCGUUUCAUCAUCUUCGAAUUCACACAAGCAAACAGCGCAUUCUAGCGCUCCUUUCCCUAUCUUGAGAUCCUUCACCUCAGAGUACACCAAAGUAGGGAAUGUCUGGAUGACGGCAGGAUCAAGCCCACGCGAUGCAGCGGCUCGUAUGGAGCGACCCAAGUUGGUUAGUGCCCGCACGCUCCCUCCGCCUCGGCUGUCGGAGCAGUGGCGCAUGUAAAUAGUAAAAAACGCCAUGAAGAAGAGAGCGGUAAUUAAGAUGGCGAUGAUGACAGCCAUCGUAGGACUAACACGAGAAUAGCUGUAAGGUACCUGCGUGCCGUUGGGUGAUUGAGCGACGGCGAACGAAGAUGAAAGAAGGAAGAAGAUGGAGAGAGAAAAAAUCCCAUAUUUAUGAGUGAAAAAACUCAUGCUGGAGCUGCAAAAACCGAGCAUAAGGGAUCUUGAAGAGUGAAUUGAAUACCCUUUAUGUUGGUUUUCUGGUGGCGGCUUCUGUGUCUGGUGGGUGGUAGCGUCAGGCGGAGGCGGCAUGGUAUUAAGAAGAGAUGAGUGAAGCGGGGAGAGAGAAUGGUUUGGGUUUAUAAAUGAAGGAAAGUCCAGCGCCGUGGGAAUCAAAAGAAGACUUUGGAGGCGUGACUUUCUCUGGCAUUUCGUGUCGCUAAGUGAGGAUUUUGGUCAAAUAAGGUGAGCCACGU